UGGCCGCCGAGUGAAAUGACUUGUCUUAAAGGGACUUUGGCUAUAAUGCGAGAGGGGCGCCGCAGUUCGUACAGAGUCUUGUCAGUCGGAUUUACAGCACGUGAAUUCAUCAGUUUCUCCCGAAAUAUAUAAACUGUGCCAUGAUGCCUGUGGCCUUAACCCAUAUCUGUUCAUAGCUGAGUGAGCAAUUCCUUUCCCUGUGCCUGUCCAGAUGUUGGCCUAAUUUGCUAUGACUAUCAACGUAUGCACUCUUACAACUCCCUCUCCAUGCGUAUGAAGCUGUUUCCCCAUUGAGAUUUGGAGCUGGGAUGUGUGGAAUUCUCUUGGCUGCUGAGUCGGGGUCUCCACCUCCGCCUCAUGUCCUCCUGGCAGCGUUCCUCUUUUGGACACUGGCAGCAGCUUGU